CGGCUGUUCGCGCUGCCGCCCCCUGACGCGCUCGGCCGCUGCCGCCGCGGACACCUGCGCGUCGGUCGCUGCCAGCUCUGCGGCUGCAGGUCCGGAACGGAACACGUCGUCCCGUUCACAGGCGACAGCAUGGAGAUUGUCCUUUCGCUCCCUGGCGACGAACUGCUGGAUGACCCGAAGUACAGCGGAUUCGUUAUAGAGGUGCUGCAGGAAGGAAGAAACCGGUGGAAGAGAGCGGAGAAAGAUUGGUACGCCUUGGGAAGCUACGGCCACUGGAAACCAUACUACAGUCCUGAGGCUGCCACGGGAGCGCUAACCAAAUGGAGCGGUCAGAGGGUGCGGUUUGAUGAACGAUGUGGGGCUGAAGACGACUGGCUCCUUUGGGCGUCAAAGUCAGAUUGCGAGGCUCGCCGAUGUACCAGCAUCACUUCCGGCGUCGUCAACAGCAGCG